UCGAGGAUCUUCGGCAAUGGGCGCAAGCCUGACCGAGCGACGCCGCGUGCGCGAUGAAGGCCUUCGGGUUGUAAAGCGCUGUCGAGGGGGAGAAAGGCCCGCAAGGGCUUGAUCGACCCCUGGAGGAAGCACGGGCUAAGUUCGUGCCAGCAGCCGCGGUAAGACGAACCGUGCGAACGUUGUUCGGAUUCACUGGGCUUAAAGGGCGCGUAGGCGGGCCGUAAAGUCGGGGGUGAAAUCUUUCAGCUCAACUGGAAAAGAGCCUUCGAUACUGACGGCCUCGAGGGAGGUAGGGGCGUGCGGAACUUCCGGUGGAGCGGUGAAAUGCGUAGAGAUCGGAAGGAACGCCGGUGGCGAAAGCGGCGCGCUGGACCUCUUCUGACGCUGAGGCGCGAAAGCCAGGGGAGCAAACGGGAUUAGAUACCCCUGUAGUCC
rnacentral:rRNA from 1 species